rnacentral:rRNA from 1 species
UACGAAGGGGGCUAGCGUUGUUCGGAAUCACUGGGCGUAAAGCGCACGUAGGCGGCGCAGCAAGUCAGGGGUGAAAUCCCGGAGCUCAACUCCGGAACUGCCUUUGAAACUGCAGUGCUAGAAUCCUGGAGAGGCGAGUGGAAUUCCGGAGUGUAGAGGUGAAAUUCGUAGAUAUUCGGAAGAAACACCAGUGGCGAAGGCGACUCGCUGGACAGGUAUUGACGCUGAGGGUGCGAAAAGCGUGGGGAGCCAAACAGG